UACGUAGGGGGCAAGCGUUAUCCGGAUUUACUGGGUGUAAAGGGAGCGCAGACGGCAGUGCAAGUCUGGAGUGAAAGCCCGGGGCCCAACCCCGGAACUGCUCAGGAAACUGUGCGGCUAGAGUACUGGAGGGGCAGGCGGAAUUCCUAGUGUAGCGGUGAAAUGCGUAGAUAUUAGGAGGAACACCAGUGGCGAAGGCGGCCUGCUGGACAGUAACUGACGUUGAGGCUCGAAAGCGUGGGGAGCAAACAGG
rnacentral:rRNA from 1 species